ACGCUGGCGGCGUGCUUAAACAUGCAAGUCGAACGAACCUUAGGGUUAGUGGCGGACGGGUGAGUAACGCGUGAGAAUCUGCCCUCAGGAGGGGGAUAACGGUUGGAAACGACCGCUAAUACCCCAUAUGCCUACUGGUGAAAUGAAUUUCGCCUGAGGAUGAGCUCGCGUCUGAUUAGCUAGUUGGUGAGGUAAUGGCUCACCAAGGCUUCGAUCAGUAGCUGGUCUGAGAGGAUGAUCAGCCACACUGGGACUGAGACACGGCCCAGACUCCUACGGGAGGCAGCAGUGGGGAAUUUUCCGCAAUGGGCGAAAGCCUGACGGAGCAACGCCGCGUGAGGGACGAAGGCCUCUGGGCUGUAAACCUCUUUUCUCAAGGAAGAAGAUAUGACGGUACUGAGGAAUAAGCCACGGCUAAU
rnacentral:rRNA from 1 species